rnacentral:rRNA from 1 species
AGCGUAUAUGGUGGAUGCCUUGGCAGUCAGAGGCGAUGAAGGACGUAGUAACUUGCGAAAAGCGUUGGCGAGCUAGUAACAAGCAUUUGAGCUAACGAUGUCCGAAUGGGGAAACCCACUAGCAUAAGCUAGUAUCAUUAACUGAAUACAUAGGUUAAUGAGGCGAACCCGGGGAACUGAAACAUCUAAGUACCCGGAGGAAAAGAAAUCAACCGAGAUUCCCCUAGUAGCGGCGAGCGAACGGGGAUUAGCCCUUAAGCAUAGAGGGUGUUAGUGGAAUGCGUUGGAAAGCGCAGCGGCACAGGGUGAUAGCCCCGUACAUGAAAACUAACUUUAUGUGAAAACGAGUAGGACGGGACACGUGACAUCUUGUCUGAAUAUGGGGGGACCAUCCUCCAAGGCUAAAUACUCGUAAUCGACCGAUAGUGAACUAGUACCGUGAGGGAAAGGUGAAAAGAACCCCGGGAGGGGAGUGAAAUAGAACAUGAAAUCGUAAGUUUACAAGCAGUAGAAGAGCGACUUAACGCUCGACUUCGUGCCUGUUGAAGAAUGAGCUGGCGACUUGUAGGUUGUGGCAAGAUUAAGAUAAGAAAAUAUCGAAGUCAUAGUGAAAGCGAGCCUGAAUAGGGCUUUAAGUCACAAUUUACAGACCCGAACCCGGAUGAUCUAACCAUGGCCAGUGUGAAGCUUAGGUAACACUAAGUGGAGGUACCAACCGACUGUUGUUGAAAAAACAGCGGAUGAGUUGUGGUUAGGGGUGAAAUUCCAAUCGAAUCCGGAGCUAGCUGGAUCUCCCCGAAAUGCGUUGAGGCGCAGCGGUUAAUGGUUCGUCUUAGGGGUAAAGCUACUGUUUUGGUGCGGGCUGCGAGAGUGGUACCAAAUCAAGGCAAACUCUGAAUACUAAGACAUUUAGUUAACCAGUGAGACGUUGGGGGAUAAGCUUCAAUGUCAAGAGGGAAACAGCCCAGAUUACUAGUUAAGGCCCCUAAAUAAUUGCUAAGUGGUAAAGGAGGUGGGAUUGCAUAGACAAUCAGGAGGUUUGCCCAGAAGCAGCAAUCCUUUAAAGAGUGCGUAAUAGCUCACUGUUCGAGUGAUCCUGCGCCGAAAAUGACUGGGACUAAGCAAUUUGCCGAAACUGUAAGAUGUUUAAACAUCGGUAGGGGAGCGUUCUACAUUAGAGUGAAGCGUUAAUGAAAAUGGGCGUGGACGAAGUAGAAGUGAGAAUGUCAGCUUGAGUAGCGAAAACAUUGGUGAGAAUCCAAUGCCCCGAAAACCUAAGGGUUCCUCCGGAAGGCUCGUCCGCGGAGGGUGAGUCAGGUCCUAAGGUAAGGCUGAAAAGCGUAGUCGAUGGAUAACAGGUUAAUAUUCCUGUACUGUUUAUUGUUGGUAAAGGGGGACGGAGAAGGCUAGGUCGACCGAAUGUUGGUUAUCGGCUUAAGUAUUCGAGGUGUUGAGAAGCGGUGAAAACGUUUUGAGCUGAGAUAUGAAUAGGAGGUGCUAAGGCACUGAACCGACUGAUGUCAUACUUCCAAGAAAAGCCCUAACUACCAUAAGCAAUAAAUACCUGUACCCUAAACCGACACAGGUGGGUAAGUAGAGUAUACUAAGGGGCGCGAGAUAACUCUCUCUAAGGAACUCGGCAAAAUAGCCUCGUAACUUCGGGAGAAGAGGUACCCUUUAUGGGUUGCAAGAACCAGACGCUGGCGACUGUUUACCAAAAACACAGGUCUCCGCAAAGUCGCAAGACGAAGUAUGGGGGCUGACACCUGCCCAGUGCCAGAAGGUUAAAGAAGUUGGUCAAUCUUUGAUGAAGCUAACAACUGAAGCCCUGGUGAACGGCGGCAGUAACUAUAACUGUCCUAAGGUAGCGAAAUUCCUUGUCGGGUAAGUUCCGACCCGCACGAAAGGUGUAACGAUCUGCGUACUGUCUCGGAGAGAGACUCGGCGAAAUAGACUUGUCUGUGAAGAUGCGGACUACCUGCACCUGGACAAAAAGACCCUAUGAAGCUUUACUGUAGCUUGAUAUUGGCUCCGGGCUUUGUUUGCGCAGGAUAGGUGGGAGGCGUUGAAAGUUUUCUUGCGGGAAGAUUUGAGCCGUUGGUGAGAUACCACUCUAACAAUGCUAGGAUUCUAACCCUAUGUCGUUAUCCGGCUAGGGGACAGUUUCAGGUGGUCAGUUUGACUGGGGCGGUCGCCUCCUAAAAGGUAACGGAGGCGCGCAAAGGUUUCCUCAGGCUGGUUGGAAACUGUCUCUUAUACACAUCUCCGAGCCCACGAGACCUCUCUACAUCUCGUA